rnacentral:rRNA from 1 species
AGAGUUUGAUCAUGGCUCAGAUUGAACGCUGGCGGUAGGCUUAACACAUGCAAGUCGAGCGAGAAAGUAUCUUCGGAUAUGAGUAGAGCGGCGGACGGGUGAGUAACGCGUAGGAAUCUACCUAGUAGAAGGGGAUAGCCCGGGGAAACUCGGAUUAAUACCGUAUACCUCCUAAGGGAGAAAGAGGGCCUCUCUUGAAGCUCUCGCUACUAGAUGAGCCUGCGUAAGAUUAGCUUGUUGGUAAGGUAAUGGCUUACCAAGGCUACGAUCUUUAGCUGGUCUGAGAGGACGAUCAGCCACAUUGGGACUGAGACACGGCCCAGACUCCUACGGGAGGCAGCAGUGGGGAAUAUUGGACAAUGGGCGCAAGCCUGAUCCAGCCAUACCGCGUGUGUGAAGAAGGCCUUCGGGUUGUAAAGCACUUUAAGCAGGGAGAAAAAGCAAUAAGUUAAUACCUUAUUGCCGUGAUGUUACCUGCAGAAUAAGCACCGGCUAAUUCCGUGCCAGCAGCCGCGGUAAUACGGAAGGUGCAAGCGUUAAUCGGAAUUACUGGGCGUAAAGCGCGCGUAGGUGGUUUGUUAAGUUGGAUGUGAAAGCCCUGGGCUCAACCUAGGAACUGCAUCCAAAACUAACUCACUAGAGUACGAUAGAGGGAGGUAGAAUUCAUAGUGUAGCGGUGGAAUGCGUAGAUAUUAUGAAGAAUACCAGUGGCGAAGGCGGCCUCCUGGAUCUGUACUGACACUAAGGUGCGAAAGCGUGGGUAGCGAACAGGAUUAGAUACCCUGGUAGUCCACGCCGUAAACGAUGACAACUAGCUGUUGGGAGACAAUGUCUUUCAGUGGCGCAGCUAACGUUUUAAGUUGUCCGCCUGGGGAGUACGGGCCGCAAG